rnacentral:rRNA from 1 species
GACGAACGCUGGCGGCGUGCUUAACACAUGCAAGUCGAACGGUGAAGCGCCUUCCUUUUUGGUGGGUGUGGAUGAGUGGCGAACGGGUGAGUAACACGUGAGUAACCUGCCCCCUUCUUCUGGAUAACCGCAUGAAAGUGUGGCUAAUACGGGAUAUUCUGGGUCUGUCGCAUGAUGGGUCUGGGAAAGAUAUUGUUUCGGUGGGGGCUGGGCUCGCGGCCUAUCAGCUUGUUGGUGGGGUGAUGGCCUACCAAGGCGGUGACGGGUAGCCGGGCUGGGAGGGUGGACGGUCACACUGGGACUGAGACACGGCCCAGACUCCUACGGGAGGCAGCAGUGGGGAGUAUUGCACAGUGGGCGCAAGCAUGAUGCAGCGACGCCGCGUGAGGGAUGGAGGCCUUCGGGUUGUGAACCUCUUUCGCCAGUGAAGCAGGCCUGCCUCGUUUGUGGGUGGGUUGACGGUAGCUGGAUAAGAAGCGCCGGCUAACUACGUG